AUUGAACGCUGGCGGAAUGCUUUACACAUGCAAGUCGGGCGGCAGCGCGGGGGCAACCCUGGCGGCGAGCGGCGAACGGGUGAGUAACACAUCGGAACGUACCCUGUCGUGGGGGAUAACGAAUCGAAAGAUUCGCUAAUACCGCAUACGACCUGAGGGUGAAAGCGGGGGAUCGCAAGACCUCGCGCGAGAGGAGCGGCCGAUGGCGGAUUAGCUAGUUGGCGGGGUAAAGGCCCACCAAGGCGACGAUCCGUAGCUGGUCUGAGAGGAUGAUCAGCCACACUGGAACUGAGACACGGUCCAGACUCCUACGGGAGGCAGCAGUGGGGAAUAUUGGACAAUGGGGGCAACCCUGAUCCAGCCAUGCCGCGUGUGUGAAGAAGGCCUCGGUUGUAAGACGACUUUGUUGGGUAGAACGGACC
rnacentral:rRNA from 1 species